GACGAACGCUGGCGGCGUGCUUAACACAUGCAAGUCGAACGGAAAGGCCCUGCUUUUGUGGGGUGCUCGAGUGGCGAACGGGUGAGUAACACGUGAGUAACCUGCCCUUGACUUUGGGAUAACUUCAGGAAGCUGGGGCUAAUACCGGAUAGGAGCUCCUGCUACAUGGUGGGGGUUGGAAAGUUUCGGCGGUUGGGGAUGGACUCGCGGCUUAUCAGCUUGUUGGUGGGGUAGUGGCUUACCAAGGCUUUGACGGGUAGCCGGCCUGAGAGGGUGACCGGCCACAUUGGGACUGAGAUACGGCCCAGACUCCUACGGGAGGCAGCAGUGGGGAAUAUUGCACAAUGGGCGGAAGCCUGAUGCAGCAACGCCGCGUGCGGGAUGACGGCCUUCGGGUUGUAAACCGCUUUCGCCUGUGACGAAGCGUGAGUGACGGUAAUGGGUAAAGAAGCACCGGCUAACUACGUG
rnacentral:rRNA from 1 species